UACGUAGGGGGCAAGCGUUGUCCGGAUUUAUUGGGCGUAAAGAGCGUGUAGGCGGCCAGGUAGGUCUGCUGUGAAAACUCGAGGCUUAACCUCGAGCUGUCGGCGGAAACCAUCUGGCUAGAGUCCGGAAGAGGAGAAUGGAAUUCCCGGUGUAGCGGUGAAAUGCGCAGAUAUCGGGAAGAACACCCGUGGCGAAGGCGGUUCUCUGGGACGGU
rnacentral:rRNA from 1 species